CUUAGGACUGUCUUAGGAGCCUGGGUCGCUCUAAUUUGUAAAUGUUUUAAGUGAAAUAAAUGAUUUAUUUAUUUAUUAAAUUUUCAUGUUGCAAAAUAGCAAAUGUGACGGUGACAACACUGUGUAAAGUUGGAAACCAGUUCUUACUAAAAUCAGUUUGAAGUUUCCACUGACGUCCAAGACGAGGAUAAACACCGUACAUGUCGUAAAGUAAUCAAGUUACAAUAGUACAGUGAAAUAACCUUCGGAUACAAAAUAAAUUUUAAUAAAUAAUAAAAUGAAGAAGCUACUGAUAGUCGUGAUAUCUUUGUUAUUAUUAGUAAACAUUUGCUAUACGAGACCUAUGCCGGGGCCCGAUGACUGGGAGGAGUUUGAAGUUGACAAAGAUGGUUUUCCAAAAGGCUGGUUUUUCGGCAAGUGCGAUGGCUGUAGAGUGACAAACAUAGGAAAUGGACGAGAAAACACUAACACGGUGUAUAUUAAAACAUAACAAAUAACAUUUAAAAGUAAAAUUUUUUAAGUAUUA